AUUGUACAAAAGGUUUUCUGAAUUGUACAACAAACUUAGUUUUUCCCAUUUUUUUCUGCUAACACGUGUAUUGUCCUCUAGAAACCACGUACCACUUCAUAUUGCAAACAGACUAUCUUACAGAUUUCUAUCAUCCUUCUCUUUUAAACAUUGGCUUUGUUCUUCACUCUUCUCAUAGUUUCUCUAUCAUUUGUUUUGAUUUUCUACUAUGUAUUCAUUUCUACGUGAAUGAUCCAAAAGCUGCAGAUUUGAAUAAGUUUGUCCUAGGAAAGAGGCAAAAGUUAUACUGAAAGAAGUUGAAGGCAAAAGCUUCUAAUUUUUGUAUAAAGCAGACUGCUCGGAGGGAAUGGCUAUAUUGAUUCUUUUCAUCAUGACCACGAGGAUCACGUAGAACAACCUGUUUUGAUCUCAACUCUUCAAUGGUGAAUCUAUGUGUUGCUAAGUUUCUUCUCUUUGUGUAGAAACUAAAUCUCUCUGCCUCAAGAUUUUUGUUUGUUUAGGAUGCCUUAUCGAUGUUUUCUCAAGAUUUAAGGUAAAUUUACAUGUUUUUCAAUUUGCCUAAUUGACCUAUUUUCUCUUCAAGGUCAAAUCUCUGAUUUUAAUAUUCAAAGGGCUAUUUCGGGUCCUUGUACUUUUUGUACUAUGCUUCAAUACAAAAAUACAAGAGUAGACAAAUUAUGGUUUGUUUCACAUUAAACAUAUUAGCACACAAUAAAGUUUUGACGUUUCUAGCUCAUAUUUCGAAAAGUAAAAGGCUGAAGAACAAUGUUUCUUUUCUCUGUAUGUAGUACGCAACUCAUAAAAUAUAUUUAGUGAAUGAUUUCCUCGGA